GGGCCACUUUUUGUUCUCUGGUUUCUUGUGAGGUACAUAUUGCAGUGUUAUGAAUGAUAGAACUGUUAACACUACCCAUGAUGUAACAUCGAUUUUGGGCUGGAUUUUGGGCAAUAUCUCCAUCGUGAUUUUCAGUAGCCAUUUUCCUUUCUACUUUCAGGUGUCUUUGAAGUGGUCGGUCAUGUGAUGAGUAUUACUGUGUUGUAUACUGUUUAUAUAGACACAUCAAGCACUGGAUGCAUUUAUUAAACACAAGGAAGUGAUAAGAAUAAUAUGUACUGUAUAACGUUCCAUGAGAUAGUUAUCAUAAUUCCUGCUGUGGUAGAAUGUUGUACAAACCGUUGCAUUUUCAGUGUUAGUACAGUAUUGUCAUGUACUCAAUCAUGUGAGCGCUAGCUGCAUCUUCAGCAUAUUGUUAUUAUUAUUAUCAAGAGUAUUAUUAACUGUUUGCAUGUAGUACUAUAGUAGAGCCACACUGACUUUGUCAACUUUGAAUUGAAAUAACUUUUUUAUUUAAUAUACUACAGACAGCGGCUUUUUUCCAUGAUACUUUUCAUGAGAAAGCGGGUAUUU